ensembl:lncRNA
UGGCCAACCACUAGGGGGAGUAGUUUUUUAAAGCUACUGAAAAUUAUAUUUUAAUCUGCCGUGCUUCUGUUCAAUGGCGAUAUUAUUUUCAUAUAUUUAAAAACUAAAAUCAGCAGAUGCACACUUGUAAGAACCCAGCAGCACUUUGCUAAACGUGGCAGCAAAUGUAUUUGUAUUGAGGCCAAUAUUCUGGCCUCGUGGGUGGAACCGCCAUAGCAGCGAUGCCACGCUGACGCUUUCUCCUCUUUGUUUCGAUCUCAUUUUCUCUCCAAGCAGCAGAUGAUGAUAGGCAAUCCUGCGGUGUUGCAUCUCCCCCAUUACAUAUAGAGCAAGAGGACAUUUUGGAGCUUGGCACAAAGAAAGGUCACGGUAAACAUGGCAGAAGAUGGCUGCACAGACAGACCUUAGCACGUCUCCGUCCCACAGCUGGAUCACCGCGGGCGAAUGUGUCUAAAUGGUUUCUAUAGCGACCUAACCCGGAUGCUUUCCUGCCUGCCACCACUUGGACGGACCGCCGUCCAACCGGGCCCCCCCGCUCACCUCCUCAAGCCUCUCCAAUUUGUAUCCCAAGCUCCUCGGCCCCGUCGCUGCACCCACCCCAGGGAUCAAUUUGGCCAGCACCGCGGACCCACUGGAUCAGAUCAGGAGGGAGCCCACGCUCGGCUGUGGCGAGGGCUCCGUGGAGCUGGGCGGCGGUGGCGGCGGCAGAAACGUCUCCACUCUCGGGUAAAAAGAGAUUUGGUGCUUAAACUGAACAGAAAAUAGGAAUUCAGUCGCCACCUUGAUUUCUGACACCUGACUGGGAACCAUUGCUGUAAUAAUCCAAUGAUUCUCAAGGCCAUUAUUCAUUAUUUAUGAAUGAUAAUUUAAACAAUAAUGAAUAUUGAAUAGGUGUUCCGUUUUAGCCAUAUGUGUCGUCAUGGGAUCCAUUUUCUGCAAAGUUUUGAGGUCAGGACUUGCAGUCAGGGUGACCGUUGAGCUGCACGGAGCAUUUAGAAUUCACAGUAAAGCUAAAUUCAAGUAGAUCCAGAGAGCAGACAGAUUGUUAAAACAUUUAUUAAGCAGCUUCGUGCACUAAAUGAUUCAUCUGGACAGCUCAUUUUGAAAAUCACGUCGGCUACGCAGCUUACAUUUUUAUUAUAUUAACAGCCUGGUAUUAGCUUUGCCGCAUAAAUUAUUAAAUAUUAUGGCUCGGGCGGCUCGCUGUAAUCGCAACUCUUCACAAACCGCAUUAAAAGUUCCGUGAGUUGGAUUGAUGGAGGCCGUGGAGCUGCGGUUUGCAUCAAGGCCCUACACGCAAAAUUUAUGAAGUGUUUUGAUUAAUCUGCUCGUUUAGUCGUGAUUGACGGCUGAGCUCGGCCCGCUAUUGGAGAAAAAGAAAUGUGGGCGGGGCCUCAGUGUUGAAGACCCCAGAGGACGAAGAUAUAAGAAACGAACGCGUUUUCAAAUGCAUUUAGCCACAACAGUAGGUGGUAGCUACAGCGUCAUACUGUCAAUCCCACAUUCACGGUCCCACCUAUGAUCCACGAGGGCCCCGGGGCCUCGCUCUCGGAGCCAAAUAAGCACCCAGAUUUAUGCAAAUGUAGACGGAGCCUUUAUUAGACCUCUCUGACACACACAAAUAAUUAC